GAUGAACGCUGGCGGCGUGCCUAAUACAUGCAAGUCGAGCGAACGGACGAGAAGCUUGCUUCUCUGAUGUUAGCGGCGGACGGGGGAGUAACACGUGGAUAACCUACCUAUAAGACUGGGAUAACUUCGGGAAACCGGCGCUAAUACCGGAUAAUAUUUUGAACCGCAUGGUUCAAAAGUGAAAGACGGUCUUGCCGUCACUUAUAGAUGGAUCCGCGCUGCAUUAGCUAGUUGGUAAGGUAACGGCUUACCAAGGCAACGAUGCAUAGCCGACCUGAGAGGGUGAUCGGCCACACUGGAACUGAGACACGGUCCUGACUCCUACGGGAGGCAGCAGUAGGGAAUCUUCCGCAAUGGGCGAAAGCCUGACGGAGCAACGCCGCGUGAGUGAUGAAGGUCUUCGGAUCGUAAAACUCUGUUAUGAGGGAAGAACAUAUGUGUAAGUAACUGUGCACAUCUUGACGGUACCUAAUCAGAAAGCCACGGCUAACUACGUG
rnacentral:rRNA from 1 species